GGGUUGUGAGGUUAAGCGACUAAGCGUACACGGUGGAUGCCCUGGCAGUCAGAGGCGAUGAAGGACGUGCUAAUCUGCGAUAAGCGUCGGUAAGGUGAUAUGAACCGUUAUAACCGGCGAUUUCCGAAUGGGGAAACCCAGUGUGUUUCGACACACUAUCAUUAACUGAAUCCAUAGGUUAAUGAGGCGAACCGGGGGAACUGAAACAUCUAAGUACCCCGAGGAAAAGAAAUCAACCGAGAUUCCCCCAGUAGCGGCGAGCGAACGGGGAGGAGCCCAGAGCCUGAAUCAGUGUGUGUGUUAGUGGAAGCGUCUGGAAAGGCGCGCGAUACAGGGUGACAGCCCCGUACACAAAAAUACACAUAUUGUGAGCUCGAUGAGUAGGGCGGGACACGUGGUAUCCUGUCUGAAUAUGGGGGGACCAUCCUCCAAGGCUAAAUACUCCUGACUGACCGAUAGUGAACCAGUACCGUGAGGGAAAGGCGAAAAGAACCCCGGCGAGGGGAGUGAAAAAGAACCUGAAACCGUGUACGUACAAGCAGUGGGAGCACGCUUAGGCGUGUGACUGCGUACCUUUUGUAUAAUGGGUCAGCGACUUAUAUUCUGUAGCAAGGUUAACCGAAUAGGGGAGCCGAAGGGAAACCGAGUCUUAACUGGGCGUUAAGUUGCAGGGUAUAGACCCGAAACCCGGUGAUCUAGCCAUGGGCAGGUUGAAGGUUGGGUAACACUAACUGGAGGACCGAACCGACUAAUGUUGAAAAAUUAGCGGAUGACUUGUGGCUGGGGGUGAAAGGCCAAUCAAACCGGGAGAUAGCUGGUUCUCCCCGAAAGCUAUUUAGGUAGCGCCUCGUGAAUUCAUCUCCGGGGGUAGAGCACUGUUUCGGCAAGGGGGUCAUCCCGACUUACCAACCCGAUGCAAACUGCGAAUACCGGAGAAUGUUAUCACGGGAGACACACGGCGGGUGCUAACGUCCGUCGUGAAGAGGGAAACAACCCAGACCGCCAGCUAAGGUCCCAAAGUCAUGGUUAAGUGGGAAACGAUGUGGGAAGGCCCAGACAGCCAGGAUGUUGGCUUAGAAGCAGCCAUCAUUUAAAGAAAGCGUAAUAGCUCACUGGUCGAGUCGGCCUGCGCGGAAGAUGUAACGGGGCUAAACCAUGCACCGAAGCUGCGGCAGCGACGCUUAUGCGUUGUUGGGUAGGGGAGCGUUCUGUAAGCCUGCGAAGGUGUGCUGUGAGGCAUGCUGGAGGUAUCAGAAGUGCGAAUGCUGACAUAAGUAACGAUAAAGCGGGUGAAAAGCCCGCUCGCCGGAAGACCAAGGGUUCCUGUCCAACGUUAAUCGGGGCAGGUGAGUCGACCCCUAAGGCGAGGCCGAAAGGCGUAGUCGAUGGGAAACAGGUUAAUAUUCCUGUACUUGGUGUUACUGCGAAGGGGGGACGGAGAAGGCUAUGUUGGCCGGGCGACGGUUGUCCCGGUUUAAGCGUGUAGGCUGGUUUUCCAGGCAAAUCCGGAAAAUCAAGGCUGAGGCGUGAUGACGAGGCACUACGGUGCUGAAGCAACAAAUGCCCUGCUUCCAGGAAAAGCCUCUAAGCAUCAGGUAACAUCAAAUCGUACCCCAAACCGACACAGGUGGUCAGGUAGAGAAUACCAAGGCGCUUGAGAGAACUCGGGUGAAGGAACUAGGCAAAAUGGUGCCGUAACUUCGGGAGAAGGCACGCUGAUAUGUAGGUGAAGUCCCUUGCGGAUGGAGCUGAAAUCAGUCGAAGAUACCAGCUGGCUGCAACUGUUUAUUAAAAACACAGCACUGUGCAAACACGAAAGUGGACGUAUACGGUGUGACGCCUGCCCGGUGCCGGAAGGUUAAUUGAUGGGGUCAGCGCAAGCGAAGCUCUUGAUCGAAGCCCCGGUAAACGGCGGCCGUAACUAUAACGGUCCUAAGGUAGCGAAAUUCCUUGUCGGGUAAGUUCCGACCUGCACGAAUGGCGUAAUGAUGGCCAGGCUGUCUCCACCCGAGACUCAGUGAAAUUGAACUCGCUGUGAAGAUGCAGUGUACCCGCGGCAAGACGGAAAGACCCCGUGAACCUUUACUAUAGCUUGACACUGAACAUUGAGCCUUGAUGUGUAGGAUAGGUGGGAGGCUUUGAAGUGUGGACGCCAGUCUGCAUGGAGCCGGCCUUGAAAUACCACCCUUUAAUGUUUGAUGUUCUAACGUGGACCCGUGAUCCGGGUUGCGGACAGUGUCUGGUGGGUAGUUUGACUGGGGCGGUCUCCUCCUAAAGAGUAACGGAGGAGCACGAAGGUUGGCUAAUCCUGGUCGGACAUCAGGAGGUUAGUGCAAUGGCAUAAGCCAGCUUGACUGCGAGCGUGACGGCGCGAGCAGGUGCGAAAGCAGGUCAUAGUGAUCCGGUGGUUCUGAAUGGAAGGGCCAUCGCUCAACGGAUAAAAGGUACUCCGGGGAUAACAGGCUGAUACCGCCCAAGAGUUCAUAUCGACGGCGGUGUUUGGCACCUCGAUGUCGGCUCAUCACAUCCUGGGGCUGAAGUAGGUCCCAAGGGUAUGGCUGUUCGCCAUUUAAAGUGGUACGCGAGCUGGGUUUAGAACGUCGUGAGACAGUUCGGUCCCUAUCUGCCGUGGGCGCUGGAGAACUGAGGGGGGCUGCUCCUAGUACGAGAGGACCGGAGUGGACGCAUCACUGGUGUUCGGGUUGUCAUGCCAAUGGCACUGCCCGGUAGCUAAAUGCGGAAGAGAUAAGUGCUGAAAGCAUCUAAGCACGAAACUUGCCCCGAGAUGAGUUCUCCCUGACCCUUUAAGGGUCCUGAAGGAACGUUGAAGACGACGACGUUGAUAGGCCGGGUGUGUAAGCGCAGCGAUGCGUUGAGCUAACCGGUACUAAUGAACCGUGAGGCUUAACCUUACAACGCCGAAG
rnacentral:rRNA from 1 species